GGUUCGAUGGUGUAGUUGGUUAUCACGUUCGCCUCACAUCUACAGUGUGCGCGAAAGGUCGCGAGUUCGAGCCUCGCUUGAAUCA